rnacentral:rRNA from 1 species
GUACCGUGAGGGAAAGGUGAAAAGAACCCCGGGAGGGGAGUGAAAAGAACAUGAAACCAUAAACUUAUAAUCAGUAGGAGGACGACUUGAACGUCUAACUGCGUGCCUGUUGAAGAAUGAGCCGGCGACUUAUAAUUAACGGCAGGUUAAAGUAGAGAAUACUGGAGCCAUAGUGAAAGCGAGCUUGAAUAGGGCGUUUGUCCUUAAUUAUAGACCCGAACCCGGAUGAUCUAACCAUGAUCAGGUUGAAACUUAGGUAAUACUAUGUGGAGGACCGAACUGACUGAUGUUGAAAAAUCAGCGGAUGAAUUGUGGUUAGGGGUGAAAUGCCAAUCGAAUUCGGAGCUAGCUGGUUCUCCCCGAAAUGCGUUUUGGCGCAGCGACAAAUGUUUAAAUUUAGGGGUAAAGCACUGUUACGUAUGCGGGCUGGUAAUUCGGUACCAAAUCGUUGCAAACUAAGAAUACUAAAUGUAUAAUUUGUCAGUGAGACUGUGGGGGAUAAGCUCCAUUGUCAAGAGGGAAACAGCCCAGAACACUAGUUAAGGCCCCUAAAUAAUUACUAAGUGAUAAAAGAGGUGGGAGUGCACAAACAAUCAGGAGGUUCGCUUAGAAGCAGCAAUCCUUUAAAGAGUGCGUAAUAGCUCACUGAUCGAGUAAGCCUGCGCUGAAAAUGUACGGGACUAAGUAAUUUGCCGAAACUGUGUGAUCUAUCAUUACUUUUUUUAAGAAUUUUUAGAAUAGAUCGGUAGGGGAGCGUUCUGCUCUAGGUUGAAGUAUUAGCGUAAGUGGAUAUGGACAAAGCAGAAGUGAGAAUGUCGGCUUGAGUAACGAAAAUAUAGGUGAGAAUCCUAUACCCCGAAAACUCAAGGUUUCCUCCGGAAGGCUCGUCCGCGGAGGGUAAGUCAGGACCUAAGGUGAGGCUGAAAAGCGUAAUCGAUGGACAACGUGUUAAUAUUCUCGUACCAUUAUUUAUUAUUUAAAGAUAUCGAGGGACGGAGAAGACUAAACUAGCCGAAUGUUGGUUUUCGGUUUAAUCGUUUAAGGUGAUGAGAAAUGGUGAAAACAUUUUGAGCUAAGGCGUGAAUACAAGAUUUUCUUUUGAAUAUCAAAGUAGUUGAUGUCAUACUUCCAAGAAAAGCUCGCACUGUCAACAGUAAAUAAUGCCUGUACCAUAACCGACACAGGUGGGUAGGUAGAGCAUACUAAGGGGCGCGAGAUAACUCUCUCUAAGGAACUCGGCAAAAUGACUCCGUAACUUUGGGAGAAGGAGUGCCUUUAAAAGGUUGCAAUAACAAGAUCCAAGCAACUGUUUAUCAAAAACACAGGUCUCCGCUAAGUCGUAAGACGAUGUAUGGGGGCUGACGCCUGCCCAGUGCCAGAAGGUUAAAGAAAUUGGUAAUAAAGCUAAUAACUGAAGCCCUGGUGAACGGCGGCCGUAACUAUAACGGUCCUAAGGUAGCGAAAU